CACCCUGAGCUGAAGGCGGACCUCAACCACUGAGCCACCCAGGUGUCCCAGUGUGAUUCCUGGUGCUGGCAUCUCUGUGUGGUCAUGGAGCAACCAAAGCUGGAAGGACCAUGGGAAGGGUACCAAGGCUUCAACAGGAAGGAAAUAGAAGGUUCAGAGGACAGUGAUCAGGAGGUUGCGACAAAAGCAAUGGAUUCUAAAAUCACAGAGAGAGAGAGAAAGAGAGAGACAGAGACACAGGCAGAGGGAGAAGCAGG